rnacentral:rRNA from 1 species
CCUACGGGCGGCUGCAGUGGGGGAUAUUGGACAAUGGGGGGAACCCUGAUCCAGCGACGCAGCGAGAGUGAAGAAGUAUCUCGGUAUGGAAAGCUCUAUCAGCAGGGAAGAAGAAAUGACGGUACCUGAGUAAGAAGCCCCGGCUAAAUACGUGCUAGCAGACGCGGUAAUACGUAGGGGGCAAGCGUUAUCCGGAAUUACUGGGUGAAAAGGGGGCGUAGACGGUGAUGUAAGUCUGGAGUGAAAGGCGGGGGCCCAACCCCCGGACUGCUCUGGAAACUAUGUGACUGGAGUGCCGGAGAGGUGAGCGGAAUUCCUAGUGUAGCGGUGAAAUGCGGAGAUAUUAGGAGGAACACCAGUUGCGAAGGCGGCUCACUGGACUGUAACUGACGGUGAGGCUCGAAAGCGUGGGGAGCAAACAGGAUUAGAUACCCGGGUAGUC